rnacentral:rRNA from 1 species
ACUUUUGUGACUGAGCGGCGGACGGGUGAGUAACGCGUGGGUAACCUGCCUCAUACAGGGGGAUAACAGUUAGAAAUGGCUGCUAAUACCGCAUAAGACCACAGUACUGCAUGGUACAGUGGUAAAAACUCCGGUGGUAUGAGAUGGACCCGCGUCUGAUUAGGUAGUUGGUGAGGUAACGGCCCACCAAGCCGACGAUCAGUAGCCGACCUGAGAGGGUGACCGGCCACAUUGGGACUGAGACACGGCCCAGACUCCUACGGGAGGCAGCAGUGGGGAAUAUUGCACAAUGGGCGAAAGCCUGAUGCAGCGACGCCGCGUGAAGGAUGAAGUAUUUCGGUACGUAAACUUCUAUCAGCAGGGAAGAAAAUGACGGUACCUGACUAAGAAGCCCCGGCUAACUACGUGCCAGCAGCCGCGGUAAUACGUAGGGGGCAAGCGUUAUCCGGAUUUACUGGGUGUAAAGGGAGCGUAGACGGCUGUGCAAGCCUGAAGUGAAAGGCAUGGGCUCAACCUGUGGACUGCUUUGGAAACUGUGCAGCUAGAGUGUCGGAGAGGUAAGUGGAAUUCCUAGUGUAGCGGUGAAAUGCGUAGAUAUUAGGAGGAACACCAGUGGCGAAGGCGGCUUACUGGACGAUG